UACGGAGGGGGCUAGCGUUGUUCGGAAUUACUGGGCGUAAAGCGCACGUAGGCGGCUUUGUAAGUUAGAGGUGAAAGCCCAGGGCUCAACCCUGGAAUUGCCUUUAAGACUGCAUCGCUUGAACAUCGGAGAGGUUAGUGGAAUUCCGAGUGUAGAGGUGAAAUUCGUAGAUAUUCGGAAGAACACCAGUGGCGAAGGCGACUUACUGGACGAUUGUUGACGCUGAGGUGCGAAAGCGUGGGGAGCAAACAGG
rnacentral:rRNA from 1 species